rnacentral:rRNA from 1 species
AUUGAACGCUGGCGGCAGGCCUAACACAUGCAAGUCGAACGGUAACAGGAAGCAGCUUGCUUCUUUGCUGACGAGUGGCGGACGGGUGAGUAAUGUCUGGGAAACUGCCUGAUGGAGGGGGAUAACUACUGGAAACGGUAGCUAAUACCGCAUAACGUCGCAAGACCAAAAAGGGGGACCUUCGGGCCUCUUGCCAUCGGAUGUGCCCAGAUGGGAUUAGCUAGUAGGUGGGGUAACGGCUCACCUAGGCGACGAUCCCUAGCUGGUCUGAGAGGAUGACCAGCCACACUGGAACUGAGACACGGUCCAGACUCCUACGGGAGGCAGCAGUGGGGAAUAUUGCACAAUGGGCGCAAGCCUGAUGCAGCCAUGCCGCGUGUAUGAAGAAGGCCUUCGGGUUGUAAAGUACUUUCAGCGGGGAGGAAGGGAGUAAAGUUAAUACCUUUGCUCAUUGACGUUACCCGCAGAAGAAGCACCGGCUAACUCCGUG